rnacentral:misc_RNA from 1 species
AUCAGCUUCCACAGCAUGUGACAGAAACUGAAACUGGCAGACGGUAUGGCUGUGUUUGAUGUUUUGGAACGCAACAAGCUGAUGAUAGAUGAUACUCAACCACUAAGUUGCACGUUAGAAGCUGCAGAAAAUGUACAGGGGCAUACCGUAUAUGUGAUGAGGAUUCAUAGAGAACCUUCUGAAGUAUCUUGGCAGGUAACACGACGGUACAGUGAUUUUGAUGCUUUGAACAAUGCUCUUUUGUAUUCUGGCAUAGACUUACCUCUGCCACCAAAAAAGGUUUUUGGCAAACUAGAACGUGAAUUUGUUGCUGAAAGACAACAAGGCCUUCAGGCAUAUAUUAAUUUUGUGCUGUCACAUCUGUUAUUGUCCUCUUCAAUUCAUGUUAAACGAUUUUUAGACCCAUCUAAUUAUUCUUUUAACUUUGUUGAAACAUCUUUGCAACAUGUAUCUAUGAUUUUUAGAUCAGAACCCCAGUGGGAAGUUGUAGAGCCUUUACUUGAUUUUGGUUGGCGUAUACGAAAGCAAUAUUUUAGUAUAAAAAAUAAAAAUGAACCAAAGAAGCGAUUUGUUCUUUCAUGGAUGGCUAUGGGGCCUGAUAUACAUUUAAAUGAGAAAGACCUAUCAUCUGCUGUAAAAUUGCUUGGAAAUGUGCAGCACCCUUUUAUAUAUCCAUUAUCAAUGAGCUCUAUUAGUGCUAAUGGUGGUCUAGUCAUUUAUGAUUUCUUAGAGAAUGGAUCUCUGAAAGAUUUUUUAUGCAAGACAAAACCACGAGUGCACUAUCUAAAAAAAUAUGGCAAUCCCAAAUCUUAUGCUACAUUAGAACCUCAAAAAAUACGAACGUAUGGUGGUCAGAUAUUGUUGACUUUGAAAUUUCUGCAUGACAGAGGAUUUUAUCAUGGUAGUUUGCAAUCUGGAAAUGUGGCUGUAGUUGAUGGAAAAUGCAAGCUUUUAGAUGUAUUGAAUGGCAUCUUAGGCGUCAGCUCUUAUUUAAGGCCCUAUUUUACUCAAAUUAAGAAAAUUCAGACUGUGGAAAAUAUAGAUAUUUAUUGCUUUGGUCAUCUCUUAUAUGAAAUGGCGCUUGGUAUACCUCUCAGUUCACCUACUUGUGACACUCUUCCUCAAAACUGUCCUUCUGAAUUACGUUCUCUCAUAGAAGCUAUUUUAUCAAAAGAUGCAUUAAAAAAGGGAAUUCCAACCAUCACGGACCUCCUUCAGCAUCCGUUUUUUAUGCAUUCCUCAAAUGAUAUUGAGAAAGUUCACUUUAAAGUUCCAUCACAAUUAAAAGAGAACUUGAAAAAAUCCAGGGAAUUAACAGAGCAACGUCUUAAAGAAGAACAAAAAUCUAUAAGGCACAGCAAAAGGUUGUCAAAAGUUCAUGCGCAGUUAACGUCUGAAGAAGAAAAGAAGAAGCGAUCAAAAGAACGAAAAAAUAGGAGUAAUUUGGAUCUUGUUAACUCAACUUCUAGUGAGAGGUCACAGGCAUCUACACCAACAGGUCCUGUCAUUUGAGAUUAUACCUGCAUCUGCCCUUCCAUGUUUGUAACAUACAUUCCUGGCUUUCAAGCAAAAUCUGUACUGUGAAUGACUUAGUAUUACCAACAUCAAGUAUGCCCUCCUUACAACCUACAUCUCUUCCAUCAGCAGUUACAGUUAAUUCUGAGAAUGUGACUGUAAAGAAUAAUGCAACAGUAUCUGUUUCUCCCACUUCACC